rnacentral:rRNA from 1 species
UUUUUAACUCAAGUGGCGGACGGGUGAGUAACACGUAAGAAUUUGCCUUUAGGAGGGGGAUAACAACUGGAAACGGUUGCUAAUACCCCAUAUGCUUUCGAGUGAAAUGGAUUUUUCCGCCUAAAGAGAAGCUUGCGGCUGAUUAGCUUGUUGGUAAGGUAAUGGCUUACCAAGGCGACGAUCAGUAUCUGGUUUGAGAGGACGAUCAGACACACUGGAACUGAGACACGGUCCAGACUCCUACGGGAGGCAGCAGUGGGGAAUUUUCCGCAAUGGGCGAAAGCCUGACGGAGCAAUACCGCGUGAGGGAUGACGGCCUAUGGGUUGUAAACCUCUUUUUUCAGGGAGGAAUAAAAUGACGUGUACCUGAAGAAUAAGCAUCGGCUAACUCCGUGCCAGCAGCCGCGGUAAGACGGGGGAUGCAAGUGUUAUCCGGAAUCACUGGGCGUAAAGCGUCUGUAGGUGGUCAAAUAAGUCAACUGUUAAAUCUUGAGGCUCAACCUCAAAAUCGCAGUCGAAACUAUUAGACUAGAGUAUAGUAGGGGUAAAGGGAAUUUCCAGUGGAGCGGUGAAAUGCGUAGAUAUUGGAAAGAACACCGAUGGCGAAGGCACUUUACUGGGCUAUUACUAACACUCAGAGACGAAAGCUAGGGUAGCAAAUGGGAUUAGAUACCCCAGUAGUCCUAGCUGUAAACAAUGGAUACUAGAUGUUGGACAGAUCGACCUGUGCAGUAUCAAAGCUAACGCGUUAAGUAUCCCGCCUGGGAAGUAUGCUCGCAGAGUGAAACUCAAAGGAAUUGAC